GCGGCGGACGGGUGAGUAACACGUAGGCAACCUGCCCGUAAGCUCGGGAUAACAUGGGGAAACUCAUGCUAAUACCGGAUAGGGUCUUCUCUCGCAUGAGAGGAGACGGAAAGGUGGCGCAAGCUACCACUUACGGAUGGGCCUGCGGCGCAUUAGCUAGUUGGUGGGGUAACGGCCUACCAAGGCGACGAUGCGUAGCCGACCUGAGAGGGUGACCGGCCACACUGGGACUGAGACACGGCCCAGACUCCUACGGGA
rnacentral:rRNA from 1 species